GAUGAAGAACGUAGUGAAAUGCGAUAAGUAAUGUGAAUUGCAGAAUUCAGUGAAUCAUCGAAUCUUUGAACGCACCUUGCACCCUUUGGCAUUCCGAAGGGUAUGCUCGUUUGAGUGUCAUUGUACUCUCACACUUCCAAUCUUUGGAUUGGGGGCGGUGGACUUGGGUGUUGCUGCUUACUGUGGCUCACCUCAAAUUGAUUCGUGCACCUCUUGGUUGGACAUAGUACGGCGUGAUAAGUGUCUUCGCCGGCACCUCAGUAGAGGGUGGCUGAUCGGGAGCUCUGUGCUUCAAACCGUCCUCGGACAACAACUGACAACUUGACCUCAAAUCGAGUAGGACUACCCGCUGAACUUAAGCAUAUCAAUAAGCGGAGGA
rnacentral:misc_RNA from 1 species